rnacentral:rRNA from 1 species
UGGGUAACCUGCCUCAAAGAGGGGAAUAGCCUCCCGAAAGGGAGAUUAAUACCGCAUAAUAUGUUUAAGUCGCAUGACUUUAACAUCAAAGGAUUUUUCUUUUAAGAAAUUCCACUUUGAGAUGGACCCCGCGGCGCAUUAGCUAGUUGGUGAGGUAACGGCUCACCAAGGCAACGAUGCGUAGCCGACCUGAGAGGGUGAUCGGCCACAUUGGAACUGAGACACGGUCCAGACUCCGUAGGAGG